AGGCACGUAGCUCAGUUGGUUAGAGCACCACCUUGACAUGGUGGGGGUCGUUGGUUCGAGUCCAAUCGCGCCUACCA
rnacentral:tRNA from 1133 species